UGGGCACCUCAAGUCCCGCCCCCAGGUCAAGCAUUUCCUCUUGUGCCUCAAGGUGUUUUUUCCCGCGGUUUUUACCUGAUGAGCUCUAGGGUGGAGGAGUGGGGGAAGUGAGUUAAAAGAAUGAAAAGAUAAAGAGAGCGAACAUGUUGAGUUCUUACUGUAGACCAAUCACUGUGGUCGGCAUGAGACCUGUUCUUUGUUGUAAUUUUGACAACCCUCUAAGGAGACACUGAGAUUUAAAGAUGUUCAGUGGCUUGCCCAAAGUCAUGCUGCUAUUGUGUGUGAGAGAUGGAACAGUGAUUCAAACUUAAAUCUGAUUACAGGACUGAAGAUCAUCUUGGGAAGCUCAUGCUUGUCACUGCUUGCUACUUGUGACUUCUGGGUUCUCUUCCUCCCUCAUCCCUCUGACCAAGAUGUUUUCAUCUGCUCUGGGUAACCCUGGCCAGUUCACUCUGGAACACUAUUUGAGCAAAGGCCCUCAUAGCAAGUGCCCCUGCUAUAUUUGUUUCGGCCCUGUGAGUGGUGACUGGAUGUGACAGGUGAGAUGGGAAGCACUUAUUUGUGUUAGAUAAUAACUCAGUCAUCACUCCAAUUGUUUACCUCCACCCCCCUCUCUUGCCUGACAACCACACUUAUGAAUAGAUUAGGUUCAUCAGAACAAAGACACUGGACUCCAAACAAAGGUUCAAGGGAUACCUCAUUAGAAGUGGGAUGAGGAGAGACUGGGAGACUACAUGAACUUGAAGAACUAGUAUUUCUUGCCCAUGCUGGAUGAUGAAAUUUUUUAAAAAGGCAGGCUAGUAAAGGGUUCUGGCAUGCCUGGGAAAGAUAGACUCCAAUAUCAGUGUAGUGGCUACCUCUGCAGUGGGAAGGUAAAGAGAUGCGGAGGUAGAGAGGGAGCUCCCACUGGGGCUACAUUUUAUUUUUUAAUAACUGAAAUUAUGAAGCAUAUAUAAGAAAAUGCUAGGAGUUCCCAUUGUGGCUCAGCAGGUUAAGACCUGACUAGUAUU